UACGUAGGGGGCAAGCGUUGUCCGGAUUUAUUGGGCGUAAAGCGCGUGUAGGCGGCUGGGUAGGUCCGCUGUGAAAACUUGAGGCUCAACCUCAAGAGGUCGGUGGAAACCCUCCAGCUAGAGUCCGGAAGAGGAGAAUGGAAUUCCUGGUGUAGCGGUGAAAUGCGCAGAUAUCAGGAAGAACACCAAUGGCGAAAGCAGCUCUCUGGGACGGUACUGACGCUGAGACGCGAAAGCGUGGGGAGCGAACAGG
rnacentral:rRNA from 1 species